UACAGAGGUCCCAAGCGUUGUUCGGAUUCACUGGGCGUAAAGGGUGCGUAGGUGGUCGGAUAAGUUUGAUGUGAAAUCUCCGGGCUUAACCCGGAAACUGCAUUGAAUACUAUCUGGCUGGAGGGUUGGAGGGGGGACUGGAAUUCUCGGUGUAGCAGUGAAAUGCGUAGAUAUCGAGAGGAACACCAGUGGCGAAGGCGAGUCCCUGGACAACUCCUGACACUGAAGCACGAAGGCCAGGGGAGCAAACGGG
rnacentral:rRNA from 1 species